UUCAAUGAUGAUAACGGUCUACACUUCUUUCCCAGUCCGAUUCGACCAUGACGAUAUGGGGUUCUACCACGCCUUUUCGGCCCUCGGGCCGGAUGCGGCUUUUUGCCAGUACAUUUAUGUACAUUAGAUCAUCUGAGAA
rnacentral:snoRNA from 1 species